rnacentral:rRNA from 1 species
UACGAAGGUCCCGAGCGUUGUUCGGAAUCACUGGGCGUAAAGGGAGCGUAGGCGGUGCGGUAAGUCAGAUGUGAAAUCCCGGGGCUCAACCCCGGAACUGCAUCCGAUACUGCCGUGCUAGAGUGAUGGAGAGGUAGCUGGAAUUCUUGGUGUAGCAGUGAAGUGCGUGGAUAUCAAGAGGAACACUCGUGGCGAAAGCGAGCUACUGGACAACUCCUGACGCUGAGGCUCGAAGGCCAGGGUAGCGAAAGGG